AACAGGGAUUGCCCUAGUAACGGCGAGUGAAGCGGCAACAGCUCAAAUUUGAAAUCUGGCUUCGGCCCGAGUUGUAAUUUGCAGAGGAUGUUUCUGGCGCGGUGCCUUCCGAGUUCCCUGGAACGGGACGCCACAGAGGGUGAGAGCCCCGUAUGGUUGGACACCAAGCCUGUGUGAAACUCCUUCGACGAGUCGAGUAGUUUGGGAAUGCUGCUCAAAAUGGGAGGUAAAUCUCUUCUAAAGCUAAAUACCGGCCAGAGACCGAUAGCGCACAAGUAGAGUGAUCGAAAGAUGAAAAGCACCUUGAAAAGGGGGUUAAACAGUACGUGAAAUUGUUGAAAGGGAAGCGCUUGUGACCAGACUUGUGCCGGGCGGCUCAUCCGGGGUUCUCCCCGGUGCACUCCGCCCGGCUCAGGCCAGCAUCGGUUUUCGUUGGGGGAUAAGAACGGCAGGAACGUGGCCCUCCUUCGGGUGGGUGUUAUAGCCUGCCGUACGAUACCCUGACGGGGACCGAGGUUCGCGCUCCGCAAGGAUGCUGGCGUAAUGGUCAUCAGCG
rnacentral:rRNA from 1 species